rnacentral:rRNA from 1 species
AUUGAACGCUGGCGGCAUGCUUUACACAUGCAAGUCGAACGGUAACAGGUUAAGCUGACGAGUGGCGAACGGGUGAGUAAUGCAUCGGAACGUGCCCGAUCGUGGGGGAUAACGCAGCGAAAGCUGCGCUAAUACCGCAUACGAUCUGAGGAUGAAAGCGGGGGACCGUAAGGCCUCGCGCGAUCGGAGCGGCCGAUGUCAGAUUAGGUAGUUGUUGGGGUAAAGGCCCACCAAGCCGACGAUCUGUAGCUGGUCUGAGAGGACGACCAGCCGCACUGGGAGUGGGACACGGCCCAGACUCCUACGGGGGGCAGCAGUGGGGAAUUUUGGACAAUGGGCGAAAGCCUGAUCCAGCAAUGCCGCGUGCAGGAAGAAGGCCUUCGGGUUGUAAACUGCUUUUGUACGGAGCGAAAAGGUCCUUUCUAAUACAAGGGGCUCAUGACGGUACCGUAAGAAUAAGCACCGGCUAACUACGUGCCAGCCGCCGCCGUAA